GACGAACGCUGGCGGCGUGCUUAACACAUGCAAGUCGAGCGGAGCGGCGAACGGGUGAGUAACGCGUGAGUAACUGCCCCCCUCUCUGGGAUAACAGUUGGAAAAGGCUGCUAAUAACGGCUAGUGGGGGAUGACUCGCGUCCUAUCAGCUUGUUGGUGGGGUAUUGGCCUACCAAGGCGUGGACGGGUGGCCGGCCUGGGAGGGCGACCGGCCACAGUGGGCUGAGCUACGGCCCAAACUCCUACGGGAGGCAGAAGUGGGAAAUAUUGCACAAUGGGGGAGACCCAGAUGCAGCAACGCGCGUGCGGGAGGACGGCCUUCGGGUUGUAAACCGCUUUCAGCCAUGACGCGGUAGUGGCAUAAGAAGCACCGGCUAACUACGUGCCAGCAGCCGCGGUAAUUC
rnacentral:rRNA from 1 species